rnacentral:rRNA from 1 species
GGCAACCCUGACGGAGCAACGCCGCGUGGGGGAGGAAGGUCUGUGGAUUGUAAACUCCUUUUCUCAGGGAAGAAGCUCUGACGGUACCUGAGGAAUCAGCCUCGGCUAACUCCGUGCCAGCAGCCGCGGUAAUACGGAGGAGGCAAGCGUUAUCCGGAAUUAUUGGGCGUAAAGCGUCCGUAGGCGGUUUUUCAAGUCUGCCGUUAAAGACUACAGCUCAACUGUGGGCCGGCGGUGGAAACUGAUGAACUUGAGUAUGGUAGGGGUAGAGGGAAUUCCCAGUGUAGCGGUGAAAUGCGUAGAUAUUGGGAAGAACACCAGUGGCGAAGGCGCUCUGCUGGGCCAUAACUGACGCUGAGGGACGAAAGCUAGGGGAGCG